CAGGGAGACAACAAAAUGUUUAAUAUUAUUAUUUUGUCACCUUAGGUCGAUCGGUAUCUCACGUCUUUAAUUUAUUAAAGAUUUCAUUUCCUAAGUUUUUUCUAGGUCACACCCAUUAUUUUUCCUGGGCCAUUAGCUCAGGUGGUUAGAGCGCACCCCUGAUAAGGGUGAGGUCCCUGGUUCAAGUCCAGGAUGGCCCAUAUCUCUAUGUUGGGGGUAUAGCUCAGUUGGUAGAGCGCCUGCUUUGCAAGCAGGAUGUCAGCGGUUCGAGUCCGCUUACCUCCACUGAUUACCACCUCUUCCAUACUCUGUAGAAAGGAAUUAUUUUGAGUUGUGAUCAAAUUCUGAACGAAUCUAGCUUCCUAAUGUAGCCAUUAAGAUGCUGGACUCAUUGAAUUAUUUUCAUUGUUUUCAGAGAACCUUGACAACUGCAUAGAUUAUUUUAAAUACAAUAAGCAUCUUUUAAUGAUGCAGAUUUUUUAUUUGUGCGAAUGCAUUAAUAACAAUUCUAUUAAGCUGAUGCUUCAAUUUUGAAGUUAUU
rnacentral:tRNA from 1 species